UCAAGGGAUCCAGCGUAUUAUGGACUAGAUGAAGUUGAAUUCUCCAGACGACGGAACUGGACUGGCUCUGCUCGUAAUCAGAUUGGUACUGUAAAAAGGGCUGUUGAAAAGGGGAAGAGCAAUCCUGCAAUGGCAAGACAUCAGGACAAUGGUACAAGCAGAACUAACUACUAUUCUUCCCAAGACAAUGAUGACUAUAUUGCUUCAGAAUCAGAUAGACAGCUUCUACUCAUGAGGUGAGUUUGCUCACUCUUACUUUUACUGCUCAUAUACUGUUCAAAUAUGUUGGUUAGAAACAUGUGCUCUAAAAAAAGAAACUUAUUAUCUGUUCAAUAUGAGUAGGAUUACUCAAGAUUCCCCUUGUAUGUAAGUAGGCGGUGUUUAAUUUAAAGUUAUGGUGUUCUAUGCAUUGCUAAAAAACUCUGUUACCGCCAAA